rnacentral:rRNA from 1 species
ACCUGGUUGAUCCUGCCAGUAGUCAUAUGCUUGUCUCAAAGAUUAAGCCAUGCAUGUCUAAGUACACGCCCUAGCAAGGCGAAACCGCGAAUGGCUCAUUAAAUCAGUUAUGGUUCCUUAGAUCGUACACAUUUACUUGGAUAACUGUGGUAAUUCUAGAGCUAAUACAUGCAAUUGAGCCCUCGUCCCUUUUAGGGUGAGGGUGCUUUUAUUAGACCAAGACCAAACGGGGGCAACUCCGAUAGUCGUGGUGACUCUGAAUAACUAUGGCGGAUCGCACAGUCCUAGCACUGGCGACGCAUCUUUCAAGUGUCUGCCUUAUCAACUUUCGAUGGUAGGUUAUGCGCCUACCAUGGUUGUUACGGGUAACGGGGAAUCAGGGUUCGAUUCCGGAGAGGGAGCCUGAGAAACGGCUACCACAUCCAAGGAAGGCAGCAGGCGCGCAAAUUACCCACUCCCGGCACGGGGAGGUAGUGACGAAAAAUAACAAUACGGGACUCUAACGAGGCUCCGUAAUUGGAAUGAGUACACUCUAAACCUUUUAACGAGGAUCUAUUGGAGGGCAAGUCUAGUGCCAGCAGCCGCGGUAACUCUAGCUCCAAUAGCGUAUAUUAAAGUUGUUGCGGUUAAAAAGCUCGUAGUUGGAUCUCAGUCGCGCUCCCUUCGAUGCGUUGCAAAGCGUCUAUCGUUGGGGCCGACAGCACGUUGGUGGGCCCGGUUGGCUUUUACCGGUUGAUCGGGUUCUCCGGCAAUUUUACUUUGAAAAAAUUAGGGUGCUCAAAGCAGGCUGGUGCCUGGAUAUUGGUGCAUGGUGCACACACACACACACACAUACAUUCAUUUUUAUAUAUAUAGAAGAGCAUUAAGCCUCCAGGGAAAAGUUUCUUUUGAAACUUCUCUUCCAAUGACAUUUUCAUCGAGGUAAUAACAAAAAAAGGCUUCAUUAAGACAUUUUGGUCUUAUACAGAUUCUUCGAGAAAAAAUGUAGGGUACAUGCAGGAAUAACAGUAAUAGCACCAGUAAUCAACAACAACAAAAAGGCUUUAUUAAGACAUUUUAGUCUUAUACAGAUUCUUCGAGAAGAAAUGUAGGAUACAUGCAGGAAUAACAGUAAUAGCACCAGUAAUCAACAACAACAAAAAGGCUUUAUUAAGACAUUUAGAUCUUAUACAGAUUCUUCGAGAAAAAAUGUAGGGUACAUGCAGGAAUAACAGUAAUAGCACCAGUAAUCAACAACAACAAAAAGGCUUUAUUAAGACAUUUUAGUCUUAUACAGAUUCUUCGAGAAGAAAUGUAGGAUACAUGCAGGAAUAACAGUAAUAGCACCAGUAAUCAACAACAACAAAAAGGCUUUAUUAAGACAUUUAGAUCUUAUACAGAUUCUUCCAGAAUAAAUGUAGGAGAAGAUAGGAAGGUCUUAGCAUAAACUUCGAGGUAACUAUCAUGAUAUAUAGAGGAGGCAUAUUUAGAGGAGAAGGUGGGCUCUAAAAGAUAUCAUAAUUUGGAUAAAUUGAAAUCAGCAUUGGUGAGAGCAAUGAAAGAAAUACCCUUAGAAAAGGUGCGUGCCGCCAUAGAUCAGUGGCCCGAACGUUUGAGAUCCUGUGUCAAAAAUAAGGGAGGACAUUUUGAAUGAUUGUAUAUAUUUAAAAUCUAUGCCCUAUUGGCUAAUGUAUUUAUAUAUUCAAUUAGUUUUUGUUCUUAAUCAUUUAAUUUAUAAAAUUGCUUGUAACAGAAUUUAUGGCUAGACUGUGUAGAACGCCACCUAUUAUAAAGAAUUGUCUACAAGAGUUGUAGAAUGGUCAAUGGAAACUUGAUGGUGACUUAAUGUUCUUAUUUUGUGUUCUCUAUUGUUGUAUUGACAACAGAGUAUCGUUGUCAUUGACUUGUUAUUUAUCAUCACCAUACAUUGUAUAACCAAAUAAUGAGGUAUCAUCUUGUGUCACCUGCUUGCCUUUCCUUAAAUCAUUCAUGCCAUCGAGGAUAUGACAUUGGAUACGAGAAUAUAGUAAUGUCUUAUAAAGAGCAGUAAUUUUAGUCACAAGAAGUCCUAACAGAAAAAUCCCCAAAGUUUCUUA